GGAGCCGUAGCAGAGUGGUCGAUUGCAGGGGUUGCGAACUUCCCGGGCCCUCAGGAAGGCUCCGCUGGCUCGGAUCCAGCCGCCUCCGCCA
rnacentral:tRNA from 1 species